CGACCAAGGGGCCGGGCUGCUCUGAUUGUUUCAGGAUCGGAGGGGCCUAGGGGUACAGGGAGUACCCCCGAUGAGGGCCGGGUCGGGGUAAGC
rfam:Pseudomonas sp. 5 contig16, whole genome shotgun sequence.